UAGAAUAUAGAAAUUUAGAUCUAGUGUUCUGGUUAGUAGUUAUUUCAUGUUUAUUAGAAUAUAGUCUAGAAUCUAAUCAUACGGCUGCAUAAAAAGAAAGUUUGAAGGAAAUAGAAUAGGAAUCUAGAGAAGCGGAGUGUUUUCCGCACUCGAGAGGAAAGAGGUUGCUGGGAACUUAGAGACUAAUCUUUGCCAACAUACUGGAUUUCUGGUGAUGACAAUAGCAGCAAAUAGUAUGCGGCUCAGUUAAUACUAAAAACAAUUGAUUUUACUAAUUAGUGGACUAUGAGUGUGUGUUUGGCCAUCCAGAUUUCAUAACUACAACUGAUGUUCAAUUACAAGGGAUAUUAAUCAGUCUCCGUGGACUAUACACUGUGCCUAGUUUCAUCCUCAGAGACUGAUGUGUAAGCUUAAAGUAAAGACAUCAAAUCAAAGUAUCAGCCAUCAAGAGGAAAAACAUUCAAAAUCAUAUUGUGAUACACAAGUCAAGCAAGUCUGACCAGCAUUUUGAUACAGGCCAAGAAAAAGCUGGAUACUUGAUUGGAAGGGUCGCACAAAAAACAUGGGUUAUCACUAGGGAAACAAGCUCGCAAUACAGUUCACUGUUAGGACAGCAAGCCAAAUACUUCUAAACUUAUUUGAAUCAUUUUUGCUGUUUAUUAUAAUUCAUCCAAUUGUCUUAUUAAAUAUAUAAAUUUAUAUAUAUACACAAUUCCUAAUAUAGAAUUUCUAAAAAUGUUUUAUUAUAAUAUUUAAAAAUGAAACAAACAUGUUCCCAGAACACAGCCACAUAAUGUCAACAUGUUCCCAGAACACAGCCACAUAAUGUCAACA